AUGAACAAGCCAGGAGGUUAUGACUGUCCAUGUAAAAGAUGGAAGAAAGGGGACGGGAAAGCAGGAACUUGUGCAGAAAAUUUCCCCCUGGUAGUAACGUUGGUUGUUGUUGCAAUAGGGGGGAUUUCUUGCAUUUCAAUUGUGACACUUGUUAUUCUUCUUCGCAAAGAGAAAAGAAAGAUGAGAGAAUUCUAUGAAAAGAAUGGAGGGCCUACUUUACAGAAGGCAAAACUCAUAAAACUUUUCAAGAAGGAGGAACUCAGACCAAUUCUAAAGAGUAGAAAUUUUAUUGGAAAAGGUGGCUUCAGUGAAGUUUACAAGGGUAGCCUUCUUGAUAUUGGCGUGUUGGAGAAUAAACAAUUUGCAAAUGAAGUCAUCAUCCAAUCUCAAGUAAUCCACAAGAACAUAGUCAGGCUCAUAGGUUGUUGCCUAGAAGUUGAUAUUCCAAUGCUAGUAUAUGAGUUUCUUUCCAAAGGUAGCCUCGAUGACAUUCUUCACAAUAACAAUGAUGCACCUCUUGACUUGCACGGUCUAGCUUAUAUGCACUCAAAAGCACAUACUAGAAUCUUACAUGGUGAUGUCAAACCAGCAAAUAUACUCUUGGAUGAUAACUUUGGCAUAUCGAGGUUGAUUGUGAGAGAUAAACAACACACAAAUACAGUCAUUGGUGACAGGAGCUAUAUGGAUCCAGAGUACCUACGGUCGGGCCUAUUGACUGAAAAAAGUGAUGUCUACAGUUUUGGAGUCGUGAUACUAGAACUUAUUAGUAGGCAGAUAGCUACACAUUCUGAUGGUAAUAGAUUAGUAGAAAAUUUCCUGGAAGCCCACAACGAAAACAGAGCUGCUGUAUUUUUUGAUGAGGCGUUUACAAGGCCAUGUGAUUUGGACCUACUUAGUAGUCUUGCGGUGAUCGCUAUGAAAUGUCUUGAACAUGAUGUGGAUCAAAGGCCAUCAAUGAUAGAGGUAGCUCAGCGCAUUCUUACAAUUUAUCAUUCGCAUGUCACAUUAGUUCAGUGA
rnacentral:rRNA from 1 species